UCCGCGAUCGGCGCGUUGAGCGCCGCGCCGGUGCGGACGGCGUCGAUGAAGUUGGCCACGUGGCGCACGGUGAGCGUGUCGCCCCCGCGCAC
rnacentral:tRNA from 1 species